rnacentral:rRNA from 1 species
GUCUCUUAUAAUAAAUCAAUUAAACUGAUCUCCCAGUAAAAAAGCUGGAAUUCCCACAUAAGACCAGAAGACCCUGUGAAGCUUAAACCACACUAUUAAACCCCAUAAUAGCCACUUUCGGUUGGGGCGACCUUGGAAACAAAAAGAACUUCCAAAUUAUGACCAUACCACCAAUAGGCCCACAAGCCACAAACGACCCAGCAUAGCUGAUAACUGAACCAAGUUACUCCAGGGAUAACAGCGCAAUCCUCUUCAAGAGCCCAUAUCAAAAAGAGGGUUUACGACCUCGAUGUUGGAUCAGGACAUCCUAAUGGUGCAGNNGCUAUUAAGGGUUCGUUUGUUCAACGAUNAACGUCCCACGUGAUCU